rnacentral:lncRNA from 1 species
GGUAGCACUACAUCUGAUAAAAAUUGGCAUCCGUCCACAGUCAGCCUGUUAAGAGCACAGAAGGAAAUGGGAAUGGAAACCUAGCAUUCGAGGCUUAGGCACCUCCAGAACAUAAGAAGGAGGAAUAAAGGUUUGUAUUAACUGGUCUGCCUUAUUACAUUGUUCAUAGCUAUUUAUAAACAGGCUAUAAGAUGCUGAAAUGCUACUAUUCUAUCAUAACAGAAAUGCAAUAACAGAAUUGCAGCAGACAUGGUGUAACAGAAUGAUGGUGGCAGACAAUAACCAAGCAUCCUCUCCAAUCAUAUCGAGGCAGCUCAGCAGAUACCAACCAUUUCUGUUAGACAAAAUCCUUGAGGUAUCUUGGGGAAAUGAUCUUCCUUUUGGGCCUCUCCUUCGAGCCUGCUGCAUCUUCUCCUUCCUAUCACAGCCAGUGCAAGUUACUGAAGCACAAGUCAGGGAUGAUCAGUGAGCCAUGCCAUAUCAGCUUGAAGAGUGGUCAGUGCCAUGUCUAGGAACCGUAUUAGAGCUGAAGGAAUUGGAAUUGUGGGAUUCAAAGAUAAAGGAUCUAGGAUUUGAACGAUACCCAGUUCUACAGAGACUAGAGUAUUUGUGCUUAUCACUGCUACAAAUUGAUCAAUUUAGCUCCUCCUUCGGUAUCAUUAACUUACUUGACAUAUUUGGAAGUACAGGUUUGUACUGAAUUGAGGAAUUUAAUGGCAUCCUCAACAGCCAAAAGUCUGAUUCAACUUAAGACCAUGAAGGUAAUCCGAUGUGAUGAAGUAAAGGAAAUAGUAACCAAUGAGGGAAAUGAAGAUGACGACGACCAAGUGAUCAUCGAACUUGUAUUUAGCAAAUUGAUUACUAUAGAAGUACUUGUGGAGCUCUUGUGCAACUCUCCUUUCCAUCUUGGGGCAGUUUCUCAGAAUCAAUAUUCUUAUGAUGGGAAUCUGAAUUCACAGUUUUUGUAACUGCAAAAACUUGUGAGGUUUGAUAGCUCCACAAGUAAAUCUAUAGUAAUUAAUUUGCUAAAUACAAUUUCGAUGAUCACUUGGUGGCAUCGUCUUCAUUUCCCUCAUUGGUUACUAUUUCCUUUACUUCAUCACAUCGGAUUACCUUCGUGGUCUUAAGUUGAAUCAGACUUUUGGCUGUUGAGGAUGCCAUUAAAUUCUUCAAUUCAGUACAAACCUGUACUUCCAAAUAUGUCAAGUAAGUUAAUGAUACCGAAGGAGGAGCUAAAUUGAUCAAUUUGUAGCAGUGAUAAAUGCAAAUACUCUAGUCUCUGUAGAACUGGGUAUCGUUCAAAUCAUAGAUCCUUUAUCUCCGAAUCCCACAAUUCCAAUUCCUUCAGCUCUAAUAGGGUUCCUAGACAUGGCACUGACCACUCUUCAAGCAAAUGUCCAGAGUUAAACAAGUGUAACUUUUCUAGAUUUGGCAUUUUGCAGAGAAGCCAACCGACAAGUCAAUAUCCAUAUGCUCCAAGUUGGAGACUGCCUAGAGAAAAACGAAAUAAAGUAAAUACCACAAAGAAGGAAGUUACUUUAUAUUGUAAGCUUAUCCAGUUAUCCCUGAUUCAGCAUCCCGUUCCAAUUAUUUGAUUUUAGGCUUUUUGGUUUGCUUUUUGCAGUUUACGUUUUUAUGAACAAAUUAACAAUACUGUGAUUUUUUCGUUUAUGGUUUUUGUUCUUCGAUGUCACAUGUAUAUCUAAAUAGGCAUUAGGUUAUGUUUGAAAAAGCAUUUUAACUGGUUUUUUAAUUUUUUAUUAGCUGAAAAGCAUGUUUAACCUUAUAUAUAAGACAAACAUCUCAAUUACUUCUAAGACUAAUAGGUAGAAGACAAAUAAGCAAAUAUGACAUGGAACGAUAUAUACAGCAUCAGUGCAAAUAGCAUUUCCAAUUCUUACGCCUUUCCAACUAAGCUAGUUAGAUAGCAAUUGCAUUUUCUCUGUCUUGGCUAUGGUUCCUUACGCCACAGCUUCUAUUACUACUUAGUUGUUACAUACACUUUGGUCCUAUCUACCAAGACUAAGAAAUGCUCUUAACAGUGCUUUAUAGUUAUACUACAGUAAGUUAAAUUCCAGAUAAGAUUGUAAAAAUUUGUAAACCACAAUGUGGGGUUUAGAUUUUGUUUUUUAAACAAGGAGGGGUUGGGGGGACACGUAAUUAAUCAUGAAUUCUAGAAGUUCUAUCAUUUUGUUUUUUCUUGAGGUCUAUGACAGUGAUGGAAUGAAAAUUCUUUACCUUUUCAGCUGAGAAAACUGGUUUUUCUUCUUCAUAUGUGGUUUCAUUGGUUUCUGUGGGGAAUAUUUUCAGCUUCUUAUUACACCUGUCCACUACCAACCCUUCAAUUUUGGACACUCUAUACUAUGCCUGCCCCCAUAGAAACCCUUGAUGUUUAGGUAAUUUAAUAUGAUCACUACUAAUUCAGGAAACACUAAUGGUUCAUGAUUUGUUUCUGAUCCAUCUUCACAGGCAACAAUUUCUGCCAUUCACUGGCAAAACUGUACCGACAUGCAUUCAAGCUUUUGAACGUCUUUGGCCACAGAAGCUGGAAAGACAUCCCUUGGUUUAUGACAACAAGAAACCACUAUACUAGGCAGAUUUUUGAAGUUAAGAAUUCCUUUUGGAUCUGUGCUCCACACUUGCUUCAGUUUUGGGAGGUUGUCUACAAGAAUCAACCACAAAUUUGUGUCUAUCCCAGCAGAUGCAUCUAUUUGCUGAGAAUCUUUGAUUUUAAAAAUCACUUCCACUGACCAACAUUCAAAAACCUUCAAGCUUUCCAGACUUUCAAACCAUCCUUUCCAUGUGACUCGGGAAAAUCUUGUAUAGUUUUUUACACCCUUCAAUGUGCACAGAAAUGAGACUAGAAAACGAAUCAUCAUCAAACUAAGAAUGAGGAAAGCUCUUAAUACUUCACCAGUAAGCACUCUAUUUUCCCACUUCUUUUGCUCUUUAUAUGCAUCUAUCUCCUCUUUUUCUGAUGAAUAUUUCUCUCGUUCUGAAGCUGCUGCCACGUAAAACUCAUUAUUGGAUGAAAUGAAAUUUAUCAAAGAGCUAUUUGUAGCUUUUUUUUCCGUCAAAAAAGCUACAAAUUGUGGCUUAAUUAAGAUGUAAUUUUUUUCUGUAACUUUGUAAUAUUUGUAAAUUCAUAUUUGUUGAAAGAUCCAAACAUCCACUUGGUAUAUAUUUCAUCAUUAUAUGAGUGACGACAUUUCUUAAAUAAAACAAACAAAUUAAUAAAUGGGUCAAUAUAGAUUGAUAUAAGCUAUGAACAAAGGAACAAAUACAAACCUCACUGUUCUUCGAAUUGGAUUUGAUCGUAAGUUGUGAUUUGUCAUGUCACAAUUCCAAACCGUAAGGAAUAAACUGAAUUUGAUUAAAAGAGCAAGUGCUAAGGAAAGCUGAGAUAUAUG